rnacentral:tRNA from 1 species
GGCCUGUUGGUGAAGCGACUUAACACACCGCCCUCUCAAGGCGGCAUUCAUCAGUUUGAAUCUGAUACAGGUCACCA